UUUGAGCCACUGCAUCCCCUAGCGGCGCCCGGGUGGCUGCAGCCGCUGGCCCGAAAAUGCUGCUCGGGCGAGCAGGGGUCAGGCGGGAAAAGAAGACUCCAAAUCCACUCUCUGCUCGCCCCCAGGGCAAUGCUGCCAGGAGAGGGAGUGGGUUCCCCCGCAGGCUAUCCCACCGAUGGGGCUGAGAGCUUAAUUUGGGGUUUUAUUUGAAUUGGAGACAUUGUUCCCUCUUCGCUCCUCUACCCCAUAAAAUUCCCUACAAAUGCAAAAAUUCGAGAUAGAAGAAGCCGUCCCUGAAAGUAAGUUCUGAAGGAUUCCUUUCAUGCGGUGAAGGAACAACAACAAUAUUCAACUUCACCUUGGUGUGUGAGGGUCGUCGUGUUUUAAAACACUAUCCCUGUAGAAAGAUUAGUGAAAUGUAUUGGAAGAAGUAGUGGAAACGUGAAUCUUCCUGGUCUCGCGUUUGGAUCUUCUUUGGAGUCCUCACCUUCUUAAAUCUGAUGUUUGUUUGAAAUCAGGGCUGAAUUUCCAUAUAUAGGACAGAAAGAAAGAACCCCAAUUUUUUAAAGAAAGCUCCCCCCCCCCCCGCCACGUUUCUCCUGAGCCCACUUGGUCUCCCGUUAUUAGGCGGCCCAGUUAAGAGGCAUCGAUUUUCCUUUCAUUCUCUGACCACUCGUCUCUCCUGGGCCAGCCAGGCUGCCCGCAUCUUCUCCUGCUCACAGCGCUCUCUAAACCUUUUAAUUAUUUAGUUGCUGUCUAACAUUCACCGGAAACCUCUCCAUAAACAAGGAGAAACGAAUGCACACGCAUUUUUGCUAAGAAGCCCGGGAUUAAGAUUUAAGGAUACAAGCUGAAAGAAAAAAUGAAAAAUGCUUCUCCGCGCGUCAAUCGAGGGGUGGAUGCGCCACGCAGCGUGAGCCCAGCUCACAGCCACGCGUAAGACCAAAAGCUGCCAUGGGUUCUGCGCGCGGAGACCUCAGAGCCGAAGAGAGAAGUCCCCGCGUCAGAAACGCUGCGGAUGCCAGGUCUUGAAAAUGCUGACUUCUGAGGCUAAGAAUUAUUUCAAAGACAAAAAGAAAAGACUGGAGCAGCCGGCGGAGCUCGGGUGGAGGAAAGCGAGGAGGCGACCAGGAGGAUGCCGCCGCCGCCGCCGCAGGGCCCGGGGCUUCUGCAGGGCGCAAGGCCUCCCUCACCAGGGUAAGGGGCUGGCGAUCAACCUGGACGCCUGGGACCUUGGGAGCAAGCAUCCCGCAGCCGAGCAGGCGACGGCGCGGCCACCGCCUAGAGAGGAGCCGGGGCCCGGGGCGGCGUGCGGGUCGGCAGCAGCCGGCUUGGCCUAUCCGAAACCCCAGGCCUGGAAGCGGCUGCUUUAGGCGUCAAGUUGAGCGGGGUAUGUGUGUCCUCUUGGGAAAAAGGUGAGAAAUGGAGCCGGACUUUCUCCACUCGGUAGGGGUUAAGCUACCACACACACCCCCAAACACAUGCCCACGUGCAAGUCCCUCCCACCCGCCCUCCCAGGGGCGAAGAGACCCUGUCCCAGUGGAAGUGGGGAAACCCAGUCGGGUACAGAAAGCAGAGGCCAUGGCGCAGAGCGGAGGCGCGGCUUUCUGGGGCUCAGCCCUAGGGCUACAGACCCAGGGCGCGGAGAUGCUCGCGGCCGGGCCACCCACCAGAGCCAGGCAACCGGCGCUUCCAGGCGAGCUCCGCGGGGCCGAGGUGCCGGGAGAAGCGGCCCCGGGCGCCCGCGCGCUGCCCGACCUGGGUAACAGGCAAAGCGGAGCCCCGGGGUCGAAGUCCUAAAGUUACUAAUCCCGCGGAGGGGGAGAGAGCGUGCCUCGGGCCGCCCGGGGCGGUCAUUUGAGCGUGUUUACUUAAAGACUUUGCAAGCAGAGCGCGCGCGAAAUCGUCGGAUUUCCAGCGAGGCAGCAAAUAUUUGCAGGCAGAAGAAAGAAGCGGAGCCGAGCCGAGCCGCCGAGUCCCUCCCCCCGGAGCCCCGGAGCCCCGGCGCCUGCCUGGGCGGUCCCGGCCGCGCAGACAGAAAAGAAGCCGGGAAUCUGCGGGGCUGGGGGGCGGGGAGCGACACCAAAGGCCAGAAACUGCAGCACGGCCCGAGGCCCUGGCGAGCUGGGCCUGGGGGAGGAGAAGUCCCUUCCCAUUCCAGCUCGAUCAAUCUUGCUGGGCUGCGAUCGGUCAAUAAAAACGGUGUGAAGCGGC
ensembl:lncRNA GATA3-AS1 GATA3 antisense RNA 1